GGAGUAAACCAAAUGAUAUUGAGGGUUAUCCAAACUAAAUUUCAGGGUAGAGUUUUGACAGGCACAUGGAAAAUCAUCAUUCAAACAUUGUGCACAAAUGUGCUAUAUCAUCAUUCACAUGCUAAAAAAAUUAACACCUAAUCAUCAACACAGUCAACCAAAAGAGAAAGAAACUGUUUCCUAUAUAGGAAUACUUAAGCUGUUGUGGUAACCUAUUCAGAGGCCUCAACUAAUGCAUUUUGCUGUACAACAAUAUGAACUCAGCUCUAGUUUUUUUACUCAUUUCCUUCACUAGAAGUUGGCCAUGUUGCAGUUGGGGCCUGGUUUGUUUCGGUAGAAGUAGGCCAUGAUGAUGUUGGAGCCUGGUUUGAUUCAGUAGAUGUAGGCCAUGAUGAUGUUGGAGCCUGGUUUGAUUCAGUAGAUGUAGGCCAUGAUGAUGUUGGAGCCUGGUUUGUUUCAGUAGAAGUAGGCCAUGAUGAUGUUGCAGCCUGGUUUGUUUCAGUAGAAGUAGGCCAUGAUGAUUUUGGAGUCUGGUUUGUUUCAGUAGAAGUAGGCCAUGGAGUUCUUGGUGCCUGGUUUGUUUCAGUAGAAGUACGCAAUGGAGUUGUUGGGGCCUGGUCCCCUCCUGCUCUUCCACGAGGUUUCCGGAAAUGCUUGUCAUUGAACGAUUCGGCAACGUCUGGAUACUUCUUCCGUACUAGGUUUUCCAGGCACUUCCUGUAGGAAAAGUCCUCCUUUUUACCAUUCUUUAAAACCACAUACAUGCAUCUACUUUCCUGAAAAUUGCUGUGUCUGCUAACCUGUAAAAACAAGCGCUCCAAGAAGGCUGUGUUUGGAACCCUAAUUUUUAAAGGGGAAAAGUAAUUUUGCCCUUAUUUUUUAAUACAUGGCAACAAGGUUGUGCGUGGAACCCUAGUUUUAAGGAAAAGCUCUUUUUGCCCUUAUUCUUUAAUGCAUGGCAUGUUUUUUUAGGGUUUU
rnacentral:lncRNA from 1 species